UACGUAGGGUGCGAGCGUUGUCCGGAAUUAUUGGGCGUAAAGAGCUCGUAGGCGGUCUGUCGCGUCUGCUGUGAAAACCCGAGGCUCAACCUCGGGCCUGCAGUGGGUACGGGCAGACUAGAGUGCGGUAGGGGAGAAUGGAAUUCCUGGUGUAGCGGUGGAAUGCGCAGAUAUCAGGAGGAACACCGAUGGCGAAGGCAGGUCUCUGGGCCACUACUGACGCUGAGAAGCGAAAGCAUGGGGAGCGAACAGG
rnacentral:rRNA from 1 species